CGCGGUCAGGACGGUUCGAGUAAGUGAUAUUUCGGAACAGUAUCUAGUUCCUUCAAUACCAAUGUGUUCUGGUAAUAUGAAUUUUUUUCUGUGCUGGUGUUGUGUACUCAGGUGAAUAAUAUGUUUGUGAUGUUACUCUGAGUGCAUAUCCACACCGGGCGAGCUUGAAAAAUAUGCCCGGCCUCGGUGGGAUUCGAACCUACGACCUUUGGAAUACUAGCCCAAUGCUCUUCCAACUGAGCUACGCGGUCAGGACGGUUCGAGUAAGUGAUAUUUCGGAACAGUAUCUAGUUCCUUCAAUACCAAUGUGUUCUAGUAAU